UACGAAGGGGGGCUAGCGUUGCUCGGAAUCACUGGGCGUAAAGGGUGCGUAGGCGGGUCUUUAAGUCAGGGGUGAAAUCCUGGAGCUCAACUCCAGAACUGCCUUUGAUACUGAGGAUCUUGAGUUCGGGAGAGGUGAGUGGAACUGCGAGUGUAGAGGUGAAAUUCGUAGAUAUUCGCAAGAACACCAGUGGCGAAGGCGGCUCACUGGCCCGAUACUGACGCUGAGGCACGAAAGCUAGGGGAGCAAACAGG
rnacentral:rRNA from 1 species